GGGCAGCGCACGGGAGUUCCGGGCCGCGGGCGGCUCCUUCCCCCUGGCCUGGCCUGGCCCCCUCGGGUUGGGUGGGGGUGAGCUGGGUUCAGCUGGGCUGGGUUCAGCUGGGCUGUGUUGAGGCUGGUUCAUUUGGAUUGGGCAGGAAGGGACCAGCAGCUUUUUCACCUGGACCACGACCCCAUCCCAGCCCCACUGUGUCUCCGCACACGCAGGAGCUUCAUCCCGGGUUUCAGGGACACCACCUCGCUGCACGUGUAUCACCUUAACCGAGAGCUAAAUAACCCCCCUGCUCACCCGCCUCUGCGUCCCCAGCACAGAUCACCUCCCAGAGCCCCUCGGCAGGUGCCUCGCGCUGUGACCAGUUACACGACACUGAAAAAGUAACGUGAGACAGGACCCGCGCUGCUGUCUGCUGCCCGCCAUUGUUCGCCAGGGGAUACGCAAACGCUGCCUCGGUGCUGCUUGUGUUCCCCCAUGGGUCAGCGUGGACGGCGCAGAGCGGGUCCAUGAGGAAGUACUGACACUGCCACCGUCCCUCCCAGCAGCACCAUGGAGCAGAGAGUCCGAGGUGUCUGCUCUGCAGCUUCUUGGAGCCUCCUCAGCUACACUGGGUCCAACUCACCGCAGGCUGGACCAUGACUCCACAGUGGGAAGCAACGGCACAGCUUUGAGUGAUCGUCACAUUACCACCCAACAACAUGGGUGUGCACGGAGAGACACGAGCGUGUCAGUGUGGUCACCACAGAGCGCCCAGCUCUAAUCUGGUCCUGGGACGCCCUGAGCCUGCAUAAGGCCCUGAGUUCUCCAUGCUCAACGUCAGAGUCCUCGAGCUGCCCAGGGGCAGAUGUGAAGCCGAAGGGUUUCAGCACACUUGGCCCAGUAAAAGGCCGUUUUCCCCGAGCAGCAGCACAUGUUAUGUUAAGCCAUGUCUCCACUCCUCGUUUCAAAUGCAGAAGCGAUUCCUAAUUUAGACCCUGAACUACAAGUCCCAGGGGUUGCAAAUUAAAUCCCAGGGGCUGAAAAUCCUUCCUUGUCACCCACUUUUACUGCUCGUCAGUUGUCCCGACCUGACGGCAUUUAUCCAGGCAAAACGGGGGAGAGGGAACAGGGCAUGGCAUCCACGUCUCCAGACAGCAGAGUAACAACGUCCCUUUGCUCCAUGCUGUGCAAGUGCAAAACACAAGUUUUUUCAUUCCAGGGUAAUAGAAAUGAGACUGGCUACAUGUAGUGAUUUACUUGUGGCAAUACACCAAACCUGUGGCAGAGCUGUGCUGUACUCCACUGCCUUAUUUCCAUUAAAACUUGCACUUCAAACAA